rnacentral:lncRNA from 10 species
AGGAUAAAUCUUCGGACAAAAAAGUGCAAACAAAAAGGGAAAGGGGGGCAAAGGGAAAACAGGCUAAGUGGCUAACUAGGAAACUAAAGAAGAUUUACCUGCAGAAAACGGAGAAACUAAAAUCAGCCUCUGAUGAAGCUGGAGAGAAGGAAGCCAAGUCUGAUUAAAUCACAUACCAUGUUUUAUCAGUGGUCCCCAUCUCCCUUUUUGUACAAUCGAGUAUAUAUUUUCAUCAACUAUUUUGUAAAUGCAACCACGAUGGCCGGCCUAGAAACAUUUUUAAGAAGGAGGGAAUCACAUCUAAUCUCAUUUUUUAAGUGUAAAUGCUUAUUUUAAAAAGGUGAAACCAUUUGCUGCUUGUUUGUUUUUUGGUACAACCAGAAAAUAGUGUGGGCUAUUGAAUUCUGGGAGGCUUUGACUGUCUUGGGUGUCAGCUUAACAUUCCAUAGAUGGAGGGUUAGUGUUUAUAU